AGGAAUAUUGGUCAAUGGACGAGAGUCUGAACCAGCCAAGUAGCGUGAAGGAUGAAGGUUCUAUGGAUUGUAAACUUCUUUUAUACGGGAAUAAACGGAUCCACGUGUGGAUUUUUGCAUGUACCGUAUGAAUAAGGAUCGGCUAACUCCGUGCCAGCAGCCGCGGUAAUACGGAGGAUCCGAGCGUUAUCCGGAUUUAUUGGGUUUAAAGGGAGCGUAGAUGGGUUGUUAAGUCAGUUGUGAAAGUUUGCGGCUCAACCGUAAAAUUGCAAUUGAUACUGGCAGUCUUGAGUACAGUUGAGGUAGGCGGAAUUCGUGGUGUAGCGGUGAAAUGCUUAGAUAUCACGAAGAACUCCGAUUGCGAAGGCAGCUUACUGGACUGUAACUGACGCUGAUGCUCGAAAGUGUGGGUAUCAAACAGGAUUAGAUACCCUGGUAGUCCACACAGUAAACGAUGAAUACUCGCUGUUGGCGAUACACAGUCAGCGGCCAAGCGAAAGCAUUAAGUAUUCCACCUGGGGAGUACGCCGGCAACGGUGAAACUCAAAGGAAUUGACGGGGGCCCGCACAAGCGGAGGAACAUGUGGUUUAAUUCGAUGAUACGCGAGGAACCUUACCCGGGCUUAAAUUGCAGCGGAAUGUAGUGGAAACAUUACAGCCUUCGGGCCGCUGUGAAGGUGCUGCAUGGUUGUCGUCAGCUCGUGCCGUGAGGUGUCGGCUUAAGUGCCAUAACGAGCGCAACCCUUAUCUAUAGUUACUAUCAGGUCAUGCUGAGGACUCUAUGGAGACUGCCGUCGUAAGAUGUGAGGAAGGUGGGGAUGACGUCAAAUCAGCACGGCCCUUACGUCCGGGGCUACACACGUGUUACAAUGGGGGGUACAGAAGGCAGCUACCUGGCGACAGGAUGCUAAUCCCUAAAACCUCUCUCAGUUCGGAUUGGAGUCUGCAACCCGACUCCAUGAAGCUGGAUUCGCUAGUAAUCGCGCAUCAGCCACGGCGCGGUGAAUACGUUCCCG
rnacentral:rRNA from 1 species